AUGAAGGGCGGGGUCGUCGACGACUUGAGGGUUAUGUUCACGAGGAAGGAGUCCUCCACCUGCCUCGCCAGGUCAGUGAUGUUCCUCGUGAUCUUCGCGGUCGGCGUGAUCGCCGGCCUCUGGACGGCCACCGGGCCGCGCACCCAGUACACCAGGACCAUCAACAACAUCGUCUUCCCCAGCAGCAGCACCACCACCGUGUACGCCGAGGCCGGCUUCGCGGAGUUCGUGGCCCCGACGCGGCUCAUGCACGACAUGACGGACGAGCAACUCUUCUGGCGCGCCUCCAUGGUGCCGGUGGCCGCCGAGUACCCGUUCAAGCGCGUGCCCAAGGUGGCCUUCAUGUUCCUCACCGGCCGCGGCGAGCUGCCGCUCGCCCCGCUCUGGGAGCGCUUCUUCCGGGGCAAUGAGGACCGCUUCUCCGUCUACGUCCACGCGCCGCCGGGGAUGACGGUGAACGUCUCCACCAACUCGCCCUUCUACGGCCGCCAAAUCCCAAGCCAGGAGACGGCGUGGGGAUCGAUAUCGCUGAUGGACGCGGAGAAGCGGCUGCUGGCGAACGCGCUGCUGGACUUCUCCAACGAGCGCUUCGUGCUGCUCUCGGAGAGCUGCAUCCCGCUGCACAGCUUCCGGGCGGUCUACGACUACCUCAUCGGCUCACGGCACAGCUUCGUGGAGGUCUACUUCCAGCAGACGAAGCAGUGCCAGGGCCGGUACAGCCGCCGCAUGGCGCCGGCGAUCACGCUGCAGCAGUGGAGGAAAGGCUCCCAGUGGUUCGAGCUGAGCCGCGACCUGGCCAUCAGCGUCCUCGCCGACACCAAGUACUACCCGCUCUUCAGGCGGCACUGCCGGCCGUCGUGCUACCCGGACGAGCACUACCUCCCGACCACCGUGAGCAUGCUGCACGGCGCGCGGAACGCCAACCGCACGGUGACGUACGUCGACUGGUCCAAGGGCGGCGCCCACCCGGCCAAGCACACGGCCGAGAACGUGACGGCGGCGGCGAUCCAGGGCAUCAGGAGGAGGAGGUGGAGGAACGACAGGCCCUGCUAUUACAACCAGAGGCCGACGUCGAUGUGCUUCCUGUUCGCCAGGAAGUUCGCGCCCGACACGCUCGGGCCCCUGCUCAACAUGUCGUCGGCGGUCAUGGGGUACUAG
rnacentral:rRNA from 1 species